rnacentral:lncRNA from 1 species
GUGAGAGCUGCUGCUCUCCAACUUAGAGAGCAGCAGUUCGAACCCCCACAAUGCAUGUGGGGGUGUUUCCUUCCUCAAAUAAAAUUGAGUGAAGGCAGUCUGUUUCCUUGCCCCAGUGCGAGGAGUAGACAUCCCUCGAAUAUUUGAGAGGGUUAAAAUCUGGGCAGCGCUCCAUUAGAUUUGAUGUAUGUUGGUCUCAGUUAUAGUCU